UACGUAGGUGGCAAGCGUUUGUCCGGAAUUAUUGGGCGUAAAGCGCGCGCAGGCGGUCUUUUAAGUCUGAUGUGAAAGUCCACGGCUCAACCGUGGAGGGUCAUUGGAAACUGGGAGACUUGAGUGCAGAAGAGAAGAGUGGAAUUCCACGUGUAGCGGUGAAAUGCGUAGAGAUGUGGAGGAACACCAGUGGCGAAGGCGACUCUUUGGUCUGUAACUGACGCUGAGGCGGCGAAAAGCGUGGGGAGCAAACAGGG
rnacentral:rRNA from 1 species